rnacentral:misc_RNA from 1 species
GAUGAAGAACGUAGCGAAAUGCGAUAAGUAAUGUGAAUUGCAGAAUUCAGUGAAUCAUCGAAUCUUUGAACGCACCUUGCACCCUUUGGCAUUCUGAAGGGUAUGCUCGUUUGAGUGUCAUUGUACUCUCACACUCCCGAUCUUUGCAUUGGGAGCAGUGGACUUGGGUUUGCUGCUUCACCGUCGCUUACCUCAAAUAGGUUAGUGCAACUCUUGGUUGGACAUAGUACGGCGUGAUAAGUGUUCUUCGCCGGUGCCUCGCAAAGAGGGUGGCCGAUCGGGAUGUUGUGCUCCAAACCGUCUUCGGACAAUCUCUGACGACUUGACCUCAAAUCGAGUAAGACUACCCGCUGAACUUAAGCAUACAAUAAGCGGAGGA